ANUUGAACGCUGGCCGGCAGGCCUAANUCAUGCAAGUCGACUCGGCAGCNCAGAGGAACUUGUUCCUUGGGUGGCGAGCGGCGGACGGGUGAGUAAUGCCUAGGAAAUUGCCCUGAUGUGGGGGAUAACCAUUGGAAACGAUGGCUAAUACCGCAUGAUGCCUACGGGCCAAAGAGGGGGACCUUCGGGCCUCUCGCGUCAGGAUAUGCCUAGGUGGGAUUAGCUAGUUGGUGAGGUAAUGGCUCACCAAGGCGACGAUCCCUAGCUGGUCUGAGAGGAUGAUCAGCCACACUGGAACUGAGACACGGUCCAGACUCCUACGGGAGGCAGCAGUGGGGAAUAUUGCACAAUGGGCGCAAGCCUGAUGCAGCCAUGCCGCGUGUAUGAAGAAGGCCUUCGGGUUGUAAAGUACUUUCAGUCGUGAGGAAGGUGGUGUUGUUAAUAGCAGCAUCAUUUGACGUUAGCGACAGAAGAAGCACCGGCUAACUCCGUGCCAGCAGCCGCGGGUAAUA
rnacentral:rRNA from 1 species